GCUUGGGCAGCGUGAGGGGCCCCGGCAGCCGCGGCCCUCAGCGCGGUCAGCUGCCCGCCCGCGGGCUCGCCACACGCACCCUCCGGUCAGGGCCGCUGGGUCUCGUGCUGAACACAAACCCUGAAAGGAAGAAGGAGAGGAGGGAAAGGGGAACGUUGGUGCACAAAGCAGAGCAGCUUCAGUAGAAGGGUGUGAGAGCUCUCCUUCUCCAUGGCAGAGCAGCCCAGAGACCACACUGCAGAACUGUGACAACAUGGACCUGAAGCUCCUGAGAAAGAAGAUGCUGUGACCUUUCUAUGAUACCACAAUCACUAUGUGCAGUUACAGUAACAGCACAACUACUGGAAUGGGGGUCAUGUGCGCAGAGGAGAUCCAACACAGCCUGGGUGUGAGAGAGCCUGAAGAGACUGAUGUUCUGCAGCAGAGAUCAGGCCCCAUGUCUGGAAGUACUGGGAAGAGAUCAGCUGCUCCCAGGAAAGAAACAGCUUUGUCUCCUCUCAGUGAGCAUACUCCCAUGGAACCUGUUAAAAGUGGA